UACGGGGGGAGCAAGCGUUGUUCGGAUUUACUGGGCGUAAAGGGCGCGUAGGCGGCCACCGCAAGUCGACUGUGAAAUCUCCGGGCUUAACCCGGAAAGGUCAGCCGAUACUGCGGGGCUGGAGUGCAGAAGGGGCAACUGGAAUUCUCGGUGUAGCGGUGAAAUGCGUAGAUAUUGGGAAGAACACCGGUGGCGAAGGCGGCUCUCUGGACCGAUACUGACGCUGAGGCGCGAAAGCGUGGGGAGCAAACAGG
rnacentral:rRNA from 1 species